rnacentral:rRNA from 1 species
AUUGAACGCUGGCGGCAUGCCUUACACAUGCAAGUCGAACGGUAACAGGUCUUCGGAUGCUGACGAGUGGCGAACGGGUGAGUAAUACAUCGGAACGUGCCUAGUAGUGGGGGAUAACUACUCGAAAGAGUGGCUAAUACCGCAUGAGAUCUACGGAUGAAAGCAGGGGAUCGCAAGACCGUGAGCUACUAUAGCGGCCGAUGGCAGAUUAGGUAGUUGGUGGGAUAAAAGCUUACCAAGCCGACGAUCUGUAGCUGGUCUGAGAGGACGAUCAGCCACACUGGGACUGAGACACGGCCCAGACUCCUACGGGAGGCAGCAGUGGGGAAUUUUGGACAAUGGGCGCAAGCCUGAUCCAGCAAUGCCGCGUGCAGGAUGAAGGCCUUCGGGUUGUAAACUGCUUUUGUACGGAACGAAAAGCCCCGGGUUAAUACCCUGGGGUCAUGACGGUACCGUAAGAAUAAGCACCGGCUAACUACGUGCCAGCAGCCGCCGCAG